AACGCUAGCUACAGGCUUAACACAUGCAAGUCGAGGGGAAACGACAUCGAAAGCUUGCUUUUGAUGGGCGUCGACCGGCGCACGGGUGAGUAACGCGUAUCCAACCUGCCCACCACUUGGGAAUAACCUUGCGAAAGUAAGACUAAUACCCAAUGAUAUCUCUAGAAGACAUCUGAAAGAGAUUAAAGGUUUAUCGGUGAUGGAUGGGGAUGCGUCUGAUUAGCUUGUUGGCGGGGUAACGGCCCACCAAGGCGACGAUCAGUAGGGGUUCUGAGAGGAAGGUCCCCCACAUUGGAACUGAGACACGGUCCAAACUCCUACGGGAGGCAGCAGUGAGGAAUAUUGGUCAAUGGACGAGAGUCUGAACCAGCCAAGUAGCGUGCAGGAAGACGGCCCUAUGGGUUGUAAACUGCUUUUAUAAGGGAAUAAAGUGAGAGUCGUGACUCUUUUUGCAUGUACCUUAUGAAUAAGGACCGGCUAAUUCCGUGCCAGCAGCCGCGGUAAUACGGAAGGUCCGGGCGUUAUCCGGAUUUAUUGGGUUUAAAGGGAGCGUAGGCCGGAGAUUAAGCGUGUUGUGAAAUGUAGAUGCUCAACAUCUGAACUGCAGCGCGAACUGGUUUCCUUGAGUACGCACAAAGUGGGCGGAAUUCGUGGUGUAGCGGUGAAAUGCUUAGAUAUCACGAAGAACUCCGAUUG
rnacentral:rRNA from 1 species